ACUAAGUUGGCAGAGAAAUGCAUUUGACUUAGGAUCAAAACACAGAAAUUAUUUCUACUUAGUA
rnacentral:tRNA from 1 species